rnacentral:siRNA from 1 species
AGUGGACUAACUACAUGCAAGGGC